UUAUGAACAAGAGAAAUACAAGACCAGAUAUUCGAUGAGAAGACGAAUACGGUGAGAAUAAAAGUAGUGUGCUGCAGUCCUGAAAAGAUUAGGGACAAACUAUGCUGCAAAGGUGAAGGUUCAAUCAAGAGUAUUGCAAUCCUGGAACCUGAAAAGCCUAAACCACCACCACCAAAACCCAAAGAACCCGAGAAGCCAAAAGCACCUGAGAAACCCAAAGAACCCGAGAAGCCAAAACAACCUGAAAAACCCAAAGAACCCGAGAAGCCAAAACAACCUGAGAAACCCAAAGAGCCGGAGAAACCCAAAGAGCCCGAGAAACCUAAAGAGCCCGAGAAACCUAAAGAGCCUGCGAAACCCAAAGAGCCAGAAAAGCCUAAAGAGCCACCAAAACCAUCACCACCGGCACCUGCACCGGCACCGGCACCGGCACCUGCACCAGCACCGGCUCCAGUUCCGUGUCACCCGCCGGUCGGGGUGUGCUGCAGGGAAUGUUAUGAGGGGCGCGGUGGGGGACCAUGUUACGAUCUUGGCUAUGGGCAAACGAGGCAUUAUGAUGGGUACUGUGGAAGGCCAGUGUAUGAGGGUUGGGCUGGCGGCUGCGAUACUAGAGGUUAUUACAGAAGUCGUUGCUCAGAUUACAUCUGUGAAGAAAAUCCAACAGCGCCUUGCACCAUCAUGUAAAUUCAUAUUACAUAUACAAAUCCAAUCCAUGCUACUGCCUACCGCCACCCACCAAUGAUCGUGAAUGGUGAUUGUCGGUGAUCAUGUCCUUUUCUUCUAGUUGCCUCUUGUAUGUUGUUGAUUUAAUCAUUUACUUUUUUUUUAUGAUGAUAAUAAAUAACAAUAAUGAUAUAGACUUUAUAGGAAGGAAAAUAAUAG
rnacentral:lncRNA from 1 species